UACAAUUUGGUUGACAAAGGGGCCAAGUGGCGGAAAUUAUUCCAUUUGUACAAUUUGGUUGACUCCAAUAGGAGGCCACCACUUGGCCCCCUUGUCAUCCAAAUUGUACUUCUAACUUGGUUGUUCAAAUCAAGACUUUAAUCAUAAACAAUGUUGUUUUUCCUCGACAGUGAGCUUUUAUAGUAGAAUAAAAAUGGAAAAUCACAUGUCUUGUUACUCUGACCAUAAAUCGAAAAUAAAACGAUGUUCCAAUGAUUGUACAUGUUGCUUACAUUUAAUGAGGGAAAACCUAGUUUUAAUCAAGUGAACUAGCUUAGUGAGAUUUCUUGAAGAAGGGCACUGUGAAGCAUAUUUAGAGAUUCAAAUGGGAAAUUAACCUGUAAUGACCCAAAUUUUUGACUUUAGAGUCAUUAAACGUGAACCAUAAAAAACACAUUCAUAAAUAAAAGAAAAACAUAAUAUUUUCUUAAAAUGCAAAG
rnacentral:lncRNA from 1 species